AUACAUCCACAUCUGUGCUAUCCUACUUAGCUAGAGAAAAACUACAUUAGUCAAAUCAUUUAGGGUAUGUUUGUUUCACAAUUCAAGAAUUUGAGCUAUGUAUGUAAGAGAAAAUAAAAAAGUUGAAUUUGAAUUUUUGUGAGAGAAAACACUGUAGCAAUAGAACUUGAGUUGUGAAAAGAACAAGGCCUUAGUUUUGCUAUCAUGAAGUUUCAGGUCGUGAUCUCUGAAGAGGAUGAUGAGAAUGGCGAAUUCUUAAGUUUAGACGUUUCAAAGAUCGGAUCAGCCGUAUACCCAAAAAAUUGCUCCAUCUGCAAGGGAGUCUUCAGUUCAAGUUGACUGAACAUGUUAAAAGGACAUGGGUGACCUGUGAAGUAUGAUCUCAAUCUUUCCAAUCUCUUAUAGAGGAGUAUGAUUUCCCUCCGAAUGGUCAAGGGCUCGUGCGACAUUACCCAGUAAUGGAAAGUUGGGGGUAGAAGUUUCUGGACAUGGGGUUGCCAGAUGCCUUUUGUGGUGGUCCAUGGACAGAUUAUUUCUGUGUAUGUACCUAUCGCGGAGGUCGAAAACGGGGCAUAACCUCACCUUGUAGCUUGUGAAAUUCUUGCAGACCGCACCUGAUAUGAUCAAGGGUAGAGGGUAGAUUAUUUUAGUAGACUACGCACCCAACCAUUAAUGCAUUGCCUUUAAAAAUAAAGGUUAUUAUGGACUAUGCAAUCCAUGGGCGUGAAUUUUGUCCUUGUGAUAUAUCAUUGGGUAAUUUGUGAAUGGUGUGGCUGAAUCAGUUUUUCCCAAAGCUAAAGGAUACAGAUAUGCGAUUUGCAGUGGAUUUUCAACCAAAAAGAAAUUUGUUAGGCAGUUAUGUCCGUAUUCAGAUCAAGUUUUUUGGCUCUUGGGUUGGGUUGUUUCUCUGCUUCAUAGUGCUCCCUCUCCACCUAUCAUAUUGGAAAGUACGUGUAAAAUUUAUAGCAGUAUGAAUUUGUAUUAUGAGAAGUAGAAUAAUAUAAUCAAAGAGUGUAAUUUGAGUUGCAAAA